UACAGAGGGGGCAAGCGUUGUUCGGAAUUACUGGGCGUAAAGGGCGCGUAGGCGGCCUUCUAAGUCGAACGUGGAAUCCCCGGGCUCAACCCGGGAACUGCGUCCGAUACUGGGAGGCUUGAAUCCGGGAGAGGGAUGUGGAAUUCCAGGUGUAGCGGUGAAAUGCGUAGAUAUCUGGAGGAACACCGGUGGCGAAGGCGGCAUCCUGGACCGGUAUUGACGCUGAGGCGCGAAAGCCAGGGGAGCAAACGGG
rnacentral:rRNA from 1 species